UACGAAGGGGCUAGCGUUGCUCGGAAUCACUGGGCGUAAAGCGCACGUAGGCGGAUUUCUAAGUCAGGGGUGAAAUCCUGGAGCUCAACUCCAGAACUGCCUUUGAUACUGGGAAUCUCGAGUCCGGGAGAGGUGAGUGGAACUGCGAGUGUAGAGGUGAAAUUCGUAGAUAUUCGCAAGAACACCAGUGGCGAAGGCGGCUCACUGGCCCGGUACUGACGCUGAGGUGCGAAAGCGUGGGGAGCAAACAG
rnacentral:rRNA from 1 species